UACGUAGGGGGCAAGCGUUGUCCGGAAUCAUUGGGCGUAAAGAGCGUGUAGGCGGUUCAGUAAGUCUGCUGUGAAAGUCCAGGGCUCAACCCUGGGAUGCCGGUGGAUACUGCUGGGCUAGAGUACGGAAGAGGCGAGUGGAAUUCCCGGUGUAGCGGUGAAAUGCGCAGAUAUCGGGAGGAACACCUAUUGCGAAGGCGGCAUCCUGGACCGGUAUUGACACUGAGGCGCGAAAGCCAGGGGAGCAAACGGG
rnacentral:rRNA from 1 species